GAUCCUGAUCCUGUAGGAGAUAUGGACCUCCUAUGAUGAUGGAGCGUCUAACUCAGACUAGCCGUGCCCAAUCAUCUUCUCUGGUUGAUAUUCUUCUACUGGUUCUUCCACUCGUCCUUGAACUUUAUUGCUGAGCUCCUGCAAUUUGGAGACCGAGAGUUUUACAGAGACUGGUGGAACUCUGAGACCAUCACAUACUUUUGGCAAAACUGGAAUAUUCCAGUACACAAGUGGUGCCUUCGCCACUUCUACAAGCCCCUGCUGAAGAGUGGAGUCAGUAAGUGGCUCGGCCAAUCAGCAGUGUUCCUGGCUUCAGCCUUCUUUCAUGAGUACCUGGUCAGCGUUCCACUGAAGAUGCUGAGGCCAUGGGCUUUUAUGGGCAUGAUGGCUCAGCUUCCGCUGGCCUGGUUUGUGGCGCGUUUUCUCCGAGGUAACUAUGGCAACGCAGCCGUAUGGAUCUCUCUCAUCAUUGGCCAGCCAAUCGCCGUGCUCAUGUACGUCCACGACUACUAUGUACUUCACUACAGAGAGGGGUCGGUGGGGGGUGGACCUGAUGACCUCCUCAGGGAAUAUAUACCAGACCAGCCUUUUAUAGGAAAGACAAAUAGAGCUAGAAAUGUACUUUAUGGUACUUUAUGAAAGCACCUUAAAGGGGCAAUCAGCAUUUGCUACAUCCAUUUUUGGACUCAUACUUUAAUGAUAUGUACAUUCGAUUCUUGAAGAACAACUUCUAAAUGUCUCACCAGCUUAGUUCAACUGUCGCUCUCCAUCAAAACCUAAAUAUAAGAUUGUUUUACUCCAAUAUUGGAAACAAAGAAUGUAAACAAACACUAUAUAGCCUCAAACAUGGUUAAAACUAUACUUUUUUAUAUUGGAUGGUCAAUCGUUGCAUCCAUAGCUCUUGUCCAUGAAUUUUAAAGUGAUAACAUUUCUCCAGUCCCAUCCCUCACUUUUUACUGAACCAGGGGUGGGGAGGCAGCUUUGUUAUUGUUUCAACUGCUGAUUGCCACUUUUAAAGAUAACACACUUCUUAUAGAAACAAUCAAUAUAGUUAGUGAAUAUUAGAAUAUGCCUUAUUGAAUCAUGUCUGACAAGUGCAAUUUUCAAAAAGUGCCAGUUUCUCAGAAAAUGUGCACAACCAGUACAUGUGUGUUUGUAAGAUUUGUGUUUUUUAUGCCACUCAAGCCUCAAUAUUUGUCAUCGUGUUUUACUUGGGUACGUAUAGAGGGAAAUGUAGAGAUAGGAAAAUGGCAGCUGGUGAUUCUUGACUUUAGUCCGUUAAUUGGUCAUUAUUAUGUUGCCGACAGAACUACAUGGACAAGUAAAUAUAUUCUCUCUUUAUGUGAA